rnacentral:rRNA from 1 species
GACAGAGGUCUCAAGCGUUAAUCGGAAUUACUGGGCGUAAAGCGCGCGUAGGCGGCUUUGUAAGUCGGAUGUGAAAUCCCCGGGCUUAACCUGGGAACUGCAUUCGAGACUGCAUAGCUAGAGUAUGGGAGAGGGAAGUGGAAUUUCAGGUGUAGCGGUGAAAUGCGUAGAUAUCUGAAGGAACAUCAGUGGCGAAAGCGACUUCCUGGACCAAUACUGACGCUCAUGUGCGAAAGCGUGGGGAGCAAACAGG